AGUGAACGCUGGCGGUAGGCCUAACACAUGCAAGUCGAACGGCAGCACAGGAGAGCUUGCUCUCUGGGUGGCGAGUGGCGGACGGGUGAGGAAUACAUCGGAAUCUACUUUUUCGUGGGGGAUAACGUAGGGAAACUUACGCUAAUACCGCAUACGACCUACGGGUGAAAGCAGGGGAUCUUCGGACCUUGCGCGAUUGAAUGAGCCGAUUUCGGAUUAGCUAGUUGGCGGGGUAAAGGCCCCCCAAGGCGACGAUCCGUAGCUGGUCUGAGAGGAUGAUCAGCCACACUGGAACUGAGACACGGUCCAGACUCCUACGGGAGGCAGCAGUGGGGAAUAUUGGACAAUGGGCGCAAGCCUGAUCCAGCCAUACCGCGUGGGUGAAGAAGGCCUUCGGGUUGUAAAGCCCUUUUGUUGGGAAAGAAAUCCAGCUGGUUAAUACCCGGUUGGGAUGACGGUACCCAAAGAAUAAGCAUCGGCUAACUUCGUGCCAGCCGCCGCCGUAA
rnacentral:rRNA from 1 species